rnacentral:rRNA from 1 species
UGAACGCUGGCGGCAGGCCUAACACAUGCAAGUCGAGCGCGAAAGAUCUUCGGAUUGAGUAGAGCGGCGGACGGGUGAGUAACGCGUAGGAAUCUACCUGGUAGUGGGGGACAACUCGGGGAAACUCGAGCUAAUACCGCAUACGCCCUGAGGGGGAAAGCGGGGGAUCUUCGGACCUCGCGCUAUCGGAUGAGCCUGCGUUGGAUUAGCUAGUUGGUGGGGUAAGAGCCUACCAAGGCUGCGAUCCAUAGCUGGUCUGAGAGGAUGAUCCCCCACACUGGCACUGAGACACGGGCCAGACUCCUACGGGAGGCAGCAGUGAGGAAUAUUGGGCAAUGGGCGAAAGCUUGACCCAGCCAUGCCGCGUGCAGGAUGACUGUCCUAUGGAUCGUAAACUGCUUUUUUACGGGAAGAAUCCCCCCGUUCUUCGGGGGUUGACGGUACCGUAUGAAUAAGGAUCGGCUAACUCCGUGCCAGCAGCCGCGGUAAUACGGAGGACCCGAGUGUUAUCCGGAUUUACUGGGUUUAAAGGGUGCGCAGGCGGAAUAGUAAGUCGAUGGUGAAAGGCUACAGCUUAACUGUAGAAUUGCCAUUGAUACUGCUAUUCUUGAGUGCAGUCGAAGCGAGCGGAAUGUGUAGUGUAGCGGUGAAAUGCAUAGAUAUUACACAGAACACCGAUAGCGUAAGCAGCUCGCUAGGCUGUUACUGACGCCGAGGCACGAAAGCGUGGGUAUCGAACAGGAUUAGAUACCCUGGUAGUCCACGCUGUAAACGAUGAUCACUAGUUGUUGGCGAUAUAUUGUCAGCGACUGAGCGAAAGCGUUAAGUGAUCCACCUGGGAAGUACGUCCGCAAGGAUGAAACUCAAAGGAAUUGACGGGGGCUCGCACAACCGGUGGAACACGUGGUUCAAUUCGAUGCUACGCGAGGAACCUUACCUGGGCUUAAAUGCAGAACGACUCUUCGAGAAAUCGAAGUUCCCUUCGGGGCGUUCUACAAGGUGCUGCACGGCUGUCGUCAGCUCGUGCCAUGAGGUGUCGGGUUAAGUCCCUUAACGAGCGCAACCCCUAUUGUUAGUUGCCAGCGGGUAAUGCCGGGGACUCUAGCAAAACUGCCAGUGUAAGCUGGAGGAAGGUGGGGAUGACGUCAAGUCAGCAUGGCCCUUAUGUCCAGGGCUACACACGUGUUACAAUGGCCGGUACAAAGGGCAGCUACCACGCGAGUGGAUGCUAAUCUCUAAAGCCGGUCUUAGUUCGGAUCGGAGUCUGCAAUUCGACUUCGUGAAGGUGGAAUCGGUAGUAAUCGCGCAUCAGC